ensembl:lncRNA
UUUUUUUUUUCUUUUUAGAAGACAUUUUACUAGGCCAGAAAUGAUAAGGAUCACUGUUUAUAUUCUCUGUAAAGUUUUCAUUAUGAAAAAGGAUUUGUGAGGUUGGUCUUAAGCUGUAGCCAAUCUGGUGUGCUUUGCAUGCCUUUCUGUAGUCAGCAGCAAACUUUGCUGCAGGCCUCCAUCUUGUUUUACAUCCUUGGGAGCAUGACCUGUAACCACGUGGCAAUGUUUUGUUUAGCCCCACCAUUUUACAAUGGCAGCUGGGUUCAAUCCUGGCUUAGGGAAUCUUUUCUGGUUUGAUAUCUGCAACCUUUGCUAUUUGUUGAUUCGCUUCCUCUCAUGAACUUGGAUUUUCCUUUCUCUGAGCCUCUAGUAAAGUUUGAAAGCAAAUAAUAUGGCCACUUGGUGUGGCUAAAGUCAGAUAACAAGGGAUAAGGAUUUUAGUAAAGAGCACUCAGGUUAAUUAAAUGUGGAUAUCUAAGUUAUAAGUGUAUUUAAAGGGUCUUUAUGUUUUUCUUUUCUUGGAUCUUGUUUUGCUGGAAAAAGGGUUUUUUCUCAAUCGACCGAAUUAUUUUUCUUCAUUUUGCCUUGUCACUCUCAAUGCAUGCAUGAGAAGCCCUAAGAUAACUCCUGGGGGCAUGGGACUCUUUGGGAAAAACAGAGAAGGCACCACUGACUCCGUUUUGGGAAGAAACCUGUUCUCAUGGAACACCAGGAAUUAAAAGUGGAUAGAUCCCUCUCAAAAUCUGUUUUUGCCCCACCUAUGACUGUUUAUUAGGCCUUAGAAGCUGCUUGUUUUUCUAGCGCUGUCUCUUAAAGGGCUCCACCUGGAGGCCAAUAAUCCAAUUAGGAGAUUGGCAAAUGAAAAAUCUUAGGGCUGCUGGGUUUCCUUCCGCCUGCCUGUGUAGUUAUAUAUGUGUUGUGUGUAUGUGACAUCUAUAAAAAAGAGCUCUAAUUAACUUAAAGAAGGAUAAGCGCUUGAAUCAAAUAUUUUGUAAAAGGGAGGUUAAAAGGUGUGGUAUCUUUCAGUUCACAUGACUUUAAUCUUUGAGAAAUAAAAAGUCUUAAAGAUUAUUGGUAAAAUGCAGAUGUCAUCCAAAUGUAAAUAGGUGGACUAAAUUAUGCAGGUCAGAUACUAAGUUUGCUAAAAGUUUUAAGGUAAUAAACUGCUUUUGUGGUUUUUGAGAACUGUUUGACUUGCCUGCUUCACAAUCGGUAAGGCCUGGGGACAUACUGAAUUAACCACAACCUUAAUUAUGCUGGAAGGAGUCAAACCUUGGCUGCACCUAGCACAUAAUUAAAACAACUUACCACGUUUUACAUUAGUUACAAAUUGCUAGGAGUUACCAUUAUAACAUGUAAUUGAAACUACUGGCAAUAGAUUUACAUGAGACGUGUGCAAGAACAGUAAGGUAAGUCUUUAGAAAAAGAUUAUAAGGUGUGGAAACAUCUUUUUUCUUUUUUCCUCCUGUCCUCUCUUCACUAAUAGGCAAUUAUGUCUCCAUACUAUGGGACACUCUCCUCAAAUGCAUCCUCCAAACUGGGAAGAAUUAAUUUCCCAAACCUUAGACUGUUUGGCUUAGGAUUGGGCUUAGGGGACGGGAACCCAGAAGCCUGACAUGCUGGCAAAAGGGUAAAAGGUCUUUUACCAGUGGAGCUUUUGGCCU